AGAUUUUAGAAGAAAGUAAAAAAAAAAAAAAAAUAACCAGGCAGACAAACAUAGAUCGGAUGAGGGCCUGAAGGGGGAGGUGCCUGAAACCCCAGGAGACCCCACGGGAAGAAGCUGCGGAGGAGAAAGACCCCUGAGAGGCUGGGAGCCCAGCGACAGGAUUGGAAAUCACUGGAGGAAUUCUACAAACAAGAGGAUUCUGGCUAUUGCUUUUAGACAGCUGGGAAAUAUGCUUUCAAGAUGUCCCUGAGCACCCAGAUGGGAGCCCAGAGACGGCUGGGGGAGGAAGAUCGGGAGAGACAAAAACAGGACAGAGACAGAGAUAAACCUGGAAAGACAGAGAGAGAAAAUAAAAUCCAGUUUCCAUUUCUCAUGGCAACCUGGGAUAUUCGCUUUGCUUGCCGAUCAUCUAACACACUGCUUCCAUAUUUUGGAUUUCAUAAAGCCACAGUGCCUUUGCAAGCUCUUCCUCGUCUACCCAAACUCUCGAUGUUGGGCUGAUCCAGGACUCACCACUGGUUGUCGCCUUUAGUGCCACUGUCUCCCCAGGGAUAUCUCUUUGUCCCAGGGCUUUAGCACCAUCCAUAUUAAUACCAGAUUUACAUCUCUGGUACUGAUCAUUCCCCCGAGCUUCUGUCUUGGACGUCUGCUCUCAAUUUUAUGUUUGCACUUGGAAGUCACGGCGGGAUUCGAGUAGUGCCGUCCACACUGCAACCCGAGGCAGCUGCUAUUCACUGGGGAAAUACCAAGGCCGGGCACAGUCAGAGGCCACAGAACAAAAUGGUUAUAGCCGGUUGGUGCCAACCCCCACCCCUCCAGCUUGUUGAUGGAAAAAUCAGCCGAAUGACUCUGGGUUGACCUAGUCUUUGAGAGGGAGGUAUUGGGUGGCAGUUAUUCCUAAAGAGAGGUCACUGUUAAAGACGACAGAAAGCAGCUGGUAGAGUCAUUAACCACUGUGGUUUCAAAGCCUGGGUAUUAACGUAAAGCCUCGUGCUUGUUUCAGAUGGAAGCCGGAGUUCCAGAAAAGACUAAACAGUCUCUGUGGGUGUGAGAAGGUCCUGUUUGAGGAGCUGCGUGGUCACAAUGAGCAGGAAAAUGUUUACCUGUGAACACUGUCAGCCGAGAGGCUCCCAGAAGCCUCGGAGCAGUGGGUGGCCGCUGAUUACCGUCCCGGAGCAGAGAGGGACACUAGAGCCCAGAUCUCCAUGGUAACCGUCUCCGGGUCUCCUGGUGACGGAGGAGGUUUCUGCAGAUGACACUGUCCGACACGUGGGGCCUCUGGGCGGGAGAAUGCUGAUUUUGACAGUGACGAGAACGUAAAG